UACGUAGGGUGCGAGCGUUGUCCGGAAUUACUGGGCGUAAAGGGCGCGUAGGCGGUUGGAUAAGUCAGCUGUGAAAACCACGGGCUUAACUCGUGGCCUGCAGUUGAGACUGUCUGGCUUGAGUGUGGGAGAGGAGAGUGGAAUUCCUGGUGUAGCGGUGAAAUGCGUAGAUAUCAGGAGGAACACCGGUGGCGAAGGCGGCUCUCUGGACCACAACUGACGCUGAGGCGCGAAAGCGUGGGGAGCAAACAGG
rnacentral:rRNA from 1 species